AGUUCACUACGCCUGGAACGGUGAGUGGAUGAAAGCCCCGGCGGCAUAGGAUGGGCCUGCGGCGUAUCAGGUUGUAGGGGGUGUAAUGUACCCUCUAGCCCUCUACGCGUACGGGUGUUGAGAGACAUCGCCCGGAGAUGGAUUCUGAGACACGAAUCCAGACCCUACGGGGUGCAGCAGGCGCGAAAACUUGGCAAUGCGAGAAAUCGUGACCAGGGAACUCCAAGUGCAUGGGGUAAGACCUAUGCUUUUCUAGACUCUAAAAAGGUCUUGGAAUAAGAGGUGGGUAAGGACGGUGCCAGCCGCCGCGGUAAUACCGGCGCCUCAAGUGGUAGUCGCUUUUAUUGGGCCUAAAACGUCCGUAGCCGGUCUGAUACAUUCGUGGGUAAAUCAACCAGCUUAACUGGUUGAAUUCUGCGAGGACGGUCAGACUUGGGACCGGGAAAGGUGUGGGGUACGCUCAGGGUAGGGGUAAAAUCCUGUCAUCCUGAGCGGACCACCUGUUGCGAAGGCGCCACACUGGAACGGAUCCGACGGUCAGGGACGAAGCCUAGGGGCACGAACCGGAUUAGAUACCCGGGUAGUCCUAGGUGUAAACGCUGUGGACUUGAUGUUGGGGGUGCUCCGAGCACUCUCAGUGUCGAAGCGAAGGCGAUAAGUCCACUGCCUGGGAAGUACGGUCGCAAGGCUGAAACUUAAAGGAAUUGACGGGGGAGCACCGCAACCUGAGGAUUGUGCGGUUUAAUUGGAUUCAACGCCGG
rnacentral:rRNA from 1 species